rnacentral:rRNA from 1 species
GACGAACGCUGGCGGCGUGCUUAACACAUGCAAGUCGAACGGAAAGGCCCUGCUUUUGUGGGGUGCUCGAGUGGAGAACGGGUGAGUAACACGUGAGUAACCUGCCCUUGACUUUGGGAUAACUUCAGGAAACUGGGGCUAAUACCGGAUAGGAGCUCCUGCUGCAUGGUGGGGGUUGGAAAGUUUCGGUGGUUGGGGAUGGACUCGCGGCUUAUCAGCUUGUUGGUGGGGUAGUGGCUUACCAAGGCUUUGACGGGUAGCCGGCCUGAGAGGGUGACCGGCCACAUUGGGACUGAGAUACGGCCCAGACUCCUACGGGAGGCAGCAGUGGGGAAUAUUGCACAAUGGGCGGAAGCCUGAUGCAGCAACGCCGCGUGCGGGAUGACGGCCUUCGGGUUGUAAACCGCUUUCGCCUGUGACGAAGCGUGAGUGACGGUAAUGGGUAAAGAAGCACCGGCUAACUACGUG